AGAACGAACGCUGGCGGCGUGGAUUAGGCAUGCAAGUCGAACGUGAAAGCACCCGACGUAGCAAUACGAAGGUGCAAGUAAAGUGGCGAACGGGUGAGUAACGCGUGGGAAACCCUGCUCCGAGAGGUAGGGGGAUAACAGUUCUAACGGACUGCUAAGUACCGCGAUGAUGCUACGGGUCGAUGACUUCGUAGUUGAAGG
rnacentral:rRNA from 1 species